rnacentral:rRNA from 1 species
CGAUACGGUAGGGCCCUUUAUGGGUUUAAGACUUAAUGAUCCCAAGGAGCAUCUUCAGGAUGCUCGGGACGCCAGCACCACUUUUUCUAUUUCAAUUUUUUAAAAACGAAAAAUGUCUAGUCUCAUCGGUGGAUCACUCGGCUCGUGGAUCGAUGAAGAGCGCAGCUAGCUGCGAUAUUUAGUGCGAACCGCAGAAAUAUUGAGCACUGAAAUUUUGAAUGCAAAUUGCGCAGUUGAAGUCGAAUUCAUCUGCGCGUCUGGUUCAGGGUCAUU